UCAGUCUAGGCGCCCCACAACCAGUUCUCUGCCCUCUUGUGUGAAAAUCAGGAGAGCCAGUUACCAGAGCUACUCAGGAAUCUUUGUAACGGGUGACAUGAAAGGCGAGCACGUCCCAGUACUCAGGGCAAGAGAAGAUGCUUACGCAAUGUCUGGCAGAUGGCGUGUACCUCCCUCGGCGUGACUGUCUUAUGUCUAUUCUUCGUGAUCAUGAAGUUGUAGCAAGAGUUCUGGAACGGCACCCACGGCGUGCUCUGCACAGGAGACGGACACUUAACGCUGUUGAACGGUUUGACCUCCUUUUCCGUCUCAUCUAGGAAGAAGGGUUGGCGGUUGCCUCCUAGUGCACCGUUGGCAGUGUUGAAGGUUGAGAAAAGCAGUAAGGACCACUUGCCUUUUGGAAUCUGGCACACCCAGUCAAGCUGCGCAUCACAAGCAAAAGGCUUCAAAUAAACAAACUUUCUCUGGUCGUCGUAGAAAUACCAGCUUCUUAGCCAAGGACUGUCAAGUACCUAAAGGAGGAAGAAGAUGGCAGAAUAUUCCAAAACUGUUGCAGCUCUUUGCAAACACUUAGGUUAAAAAUCUCUUCAUAUGCGGAGGUCUAUGUACCUUUCAAAUCCAGUUCACUGCAUCACUGUUCUAGACCGUUCUGAAAACCCUGUCAGCUUCUCUGAGGUUUUUAGCUGCUCUGAGUCGUGAAUCCUGUCAAAGGGCCCGAUGCUGUGACGCCGGCCAACCCUGGGAAGAGAUACUCUGAAGACAGCGUUCUUCCCGUCUUUGCUCGCAUCCACCUCACCUUCCUGAGCCUCUUGGAUUACGGAGUGAAGGAGCUACAGCAUCCUCACCCCUGGCUUUCUUUUACUAUCUAUGGUUUCCUCAAAACUGCUUCUGACCCUUUGCUUUCGUAAACAUUCGAUUCCCCCCCCCCCCCCUUUCACUUCUAGUUCCUGGAUUGCGACUUACUGUAGGCUAUGUCUCAUACCUCUAUCAUAUUUAACCGUAACAUAUCACAGCCUGUGAAAGACACUGCUUCUUCUGCCUGUUUCUAGGAAAGGCUCAUAGGAGGCCGAGAAAGCCAUGAGCGAGUGAAGUCCAGAUGGAAUGUGUCCUGUUGACAUGGAACAGACAUGUCAAGGACCCCCCCUCCCCAAACCUUCCCCAGGGGUUAAGAAUGUAGAUGCUAACAGUGCAGAAAUGAGCACCAUAGCUUUCGCCCCUGGAAAUUUGUAGCCUGAGGACUGCUCGCCUACUGAGACGAGCCGAGCCUGUCUCUUUGAUCAGCUGUCUGCAGUAACGCCGCCUUGCAGGUGAACUCUAUAUAAUCAAUAUGGCGAACUCCCGGUGUGGUUUCUCCAGCAGAGACCCCAGUCCUCCUCCUGAUGGCUUUUCUAUGUCAGUGUCUCUGUCUUUUCUUCAUUCCUUCAGCACCCUGGUCAGGUCCAGCCCUGGGAAUGUGCCAGGACGUGCCAAAACAGUGCAGCGGUGAAAUAGCCUGGAACCAGACGUGUGUGAGCUGAAGUGCUACUUCUGACACAUCUACGCUGAGAUUUCUUUCUCAACUUGAUGAUUAUGGUAACAGCACCUACUUCACAGGUUGUGUACAUACGAAGUGAAAUAAUGCCUACCUCAGGGUCCUGGCUCAUAAAGAAUCUGUAUAUUCGAUACCGCCAUCAGAAUGCCACUACCGUGUCACUCCCAUAAUAACCACCUCUUAGCAUAUACCUUCUCUUUUGCAAACUGGCGCCCAAUUGGUAUCCAAUAGUACCAUAGCUUAUUUGUCAAUCUAUUGCUGUGCUCUUCUGAAGACAUAGCCUGUCAUUGAUAGCUUCUAGUGCCUUUAUGUACCUCCCAGAUUCAUCGCUUAUAAAAUGGAUAAACAAACGGAUUCUGUACAAGUUUCCUAAUGUCUUUGUGAUAUUUUCCAGUCUUAACUGCUGUAUCUCGAAAUACAUCUCAAGAUAAAGUUUCUUCACAUUCAUGGCUCACAUUCACAAUCUUGGUUCACGUUGCCCUUUCUCCAUUUUAAAAGCAUCCUGCUGCCUGACCCAAACAAAACAAACAAAAAAACUCAAGAGUACUAUCUUAACUUGACAGCAAUCUAAUUUACCAAUAGUGGUUUUUUAAAUUAAAAAAAAAAAGUGUAAUUAUA